rnacentral:misc_RNA from 1 species
CUGACAGUAUCAUAUGCAUAGUUGUGAGUCAAACAUUCACUUGCCACAAUGUAUCAUAUGCACAUUUUAGGGUGACUCACUGCCCCUUGGAGAACCCCUUGGAGAACCAUGAUUUUCAUAGUCACCUGUUGGGCUACCGUCUUCCACUGGGCUUCUGUCCUCCCUAUGGAUGGGGCUAUUGCUGCGACUACGGCCAUUUUCUUCAACAGGGCUAAUAUCUCCGCGUUCAUCCAUUCUAACAUCAUCUUUAGGGCUCCUGCUGCGGUCAGAACCAUUGGUUGCCCUAUCAUCCCUUGGUGAUGGUGUACCUCUCUCUACUGGACUUCUUUCAUCAGGUGAAAGGCUGUGCUUCCUUCCCUUUGAUGGAGGUGGUGAUGACCUAUGAUGGCGAGGACUCCUUGAUCUCUUUUCUUCACGCUCAAUGCUACGGUCCCUCUUCACAGGAGACCUGGAUCGGCUGUAGCUACGACCUCUGCUGUAACUGCGGCUGCGGCUGCGGCUUCUUCCACGCCGAGGAGAUGGUGAGCGGGAAUAACUUCGGUCACGUUUCAAUUUCUUGGGGCUAUUCUGACAGUUCCUUUCUAUAUGACCUCGGUCUCCACAGCGGUAACACUUGUUCUUCCAGUCCCCAGCUUUACAAUCUCGAGCCCAAUGUCCAUCAAUUCCACAAUUAAAGCAACGACCAGUACCUGGAGGAGGACCUCUGCCACCAAACUCUCGAGAUCCACCUGGACCACGAGGCACCCCUUUGGCGAACUCCACGAUAACACGACUUCCAUCAACAUCUCGCCCAUUUAGGCCGUAUCUUGCAUCAUCGGCAUCUCGAGGAUCACUAAACUCCACAAAAGCAUAGUCACGCUUCAUAUCCACAUCACGUACUCUCCCAUAUCUGCUAAAGACGUCCUCCAAGUCUCGAGAUCGCGUCCGGGAAGACAAAUGUCCAACAUAUAGGCGUGUGCCACCAUACCUGUCAUCAUACCGCGGCAUCUUCUCUGAAAAUUGAAAAAGGCACAGAAAUGUAAGAACCCUAGAUCCAA